AUACAAGACGUUUCUUAUUAACCGAAGUGCAACAGGUCAAGCAGCUAAAUCGACGACUUCUGAACAAGAGAUAUUUUUGGACGACGGAGGAAACUGUAAUGUGAAUCCGCAGACGUUGGACAAAAACAAUAUCCAGCCUCAUGGCAGUCCGGUGGGGACGGUCAGGGAGUGAAGGAGGAGGCGGAGGCGAUGCUGAGUCUGGUACUACACGGACCACAGUCAACUGAAAGCUGCUCAUCUGACCCGAUGGAUCAUAAAUCAGCUUUCAGGAGAAGAUCGAGUGAAAAGGAGAAGAGAAGACGGACGAUUCUGGUGAACUCUCCCGAUUGAAUAAUCAAUACUGACAAAAAUAAAUGGC